rnacentral:rRNA from 1 species
AUACCCGCAGCCCAAGUGGUGGUCGAUUUUAUUGAGUCUAAAACGUUCGUAGCCGGUUCAUUAAAUCCUUGGGUAAAUCGGAUGGCUUAACUAUCCGAAUUCCGGGGAGACUGGUGAACUUGGGACCGGGAGAGGCAAGAGGUACUUUUGGGGUAGGGGUAAAAUCCUGUAAUCCUAAAAGGACCACCGGUGGCGAAGGCGGCUUGCUAGAACGGAUCCGACGGUGAGGGACGAAGCCCUGGGUCGCAAACGGGAUUAGAUACCCCGGUAGUCCAGGGUGUAAACGCUGCAGACUUGGUGUUGGGGACCCUUCGGGGGUGUUCAGUGCCGGAGAGAAGUUGUUAAGUCCACCGCCUGGGAAGUACGGUCGCAAGACUGAAACUUAAAGGAAUUGGCGGGG